rnacentral:rRNA from 1 species
CGGCGGACGGGUGAGUAACGCGUGGGUAACCUGCCUCAUACAGGGGGAUAACAGUUGGAAACGGCUGCUAAUACCGCAUAAGCGCACAGUACCGCAUGGUACGGUGUGAAAAACUCCGGUGGUAUGAGAUGGACCCGCGUCUGAUUAGGUAGUUGGUGGGGUAACGGCCUACAAGCCGACGAUCAGUAGCCGACCUGAGAGGGUGACCGGCCACAUUGGGACUGAGACACGGCCCAA